AAAGAUUUAAUUUAAAAGAAGCUGCUAACUAUCUUUAAAAGCAUUAAAAUGUUUAAUCUUUU
rnacentral:tRNA from 1 species